rnacentral:rRNA from 1 species
CAGCAGUAGCCGCGGGAAUACGGAGGGUGCAAGCGUUAAUCGGAAUUACUGGGCGUAAAGCGCACGCAGGCGGUCUGACAAGUCAGAUGUGAAAUCCCCGGGCUUAACCUGGGAACUGCAUUUGAAACUGUCAGGCUGGAGUCUUGUAGAGGGGGGUGGAAUUCCAGGUGUAGCGGUGAAAUGCGUAGAGAUCUGGAGGAAUACCGGUGGCGAAGGCGGCCCCCUGGACAAAGACUGACGCUCAGGUGCGAAAGCGUGGGGAGCAAACAGGAUUAGAGACCCCAGUAGUCCCUGUCUCUUAUAU